rnacentral:rRNA from 1 species
UACGUAGGGGGCAAGCGUUGUCCGGAAUCAUUGGGCGUAAAGAGCGCGUAGGCGGUCCGGUAAGUCCGCUCUGAAAGUCCGGGGCUCAACCCCGGGAGGCGGGCGGAUACUGUCGGGCUAGAGUCCGGAAGAGGCGAGUGGAAUUCCUGGUGUAGCGGUGAAAUGCGCAGAUAUCAGGAGGAACACCAAUGGCGAAGGCAGUGUCCUGGGGAGUACCUGACGCUCAGGUGCGAAAGCCAGGGGAGCGAACGGG